rnacentral:rRNA from 1 species
GGAAUUAUUGGGCGUAAAGAGCUCGUAGGCGGCUUGUCACGUCGGUUGUGAAAGCCCGGGGCUUAACCCCGGGUCUGCAGUCGAUACGGGCAGGCUAGAGUUCGGUAGGGGAGAUCGGAAUUCCUGGUGUAGCGGUGAAAUGCGCAGAUAUCAGGAGGAACACCGGUGGCGAAGGCGGAUCUCUGGGCCGAUACUGACGCUGAGGAGCGAAAGCGUGGGGAGCGAACAGGAUUAGAUACCCUGGUAGUCCACGCCGUAAACGGUGGGCACUAGGUGUGGGCAACAUUCCACGUUGUCCGUGCCGCAGCUAACGCAUUAAGUG